UACGAAGGGGGCUAGCGUUGCUCGGAAUCACUGGGCGUAAAGCGCACGUAGGCGGCUAUUCAAGUCGGGGGUGAAAGCCCGGGGCUCAACCCCGGAACUGCCCUCGAAACUAGAUAGCUAGAAUCUUGGAGAGGCGAGUGGAAUUCCGAGUGUAGAGGUGAAAUUCGUAGAUAUUCGGAAGAACACCAGUGGCGAAGGCGACUCGCUGGACAAGUAUUGACGCUGAGGUGCGAAAGCGUGGGGAGCAAACGGG
rnacentral:rRNA from 1 species